rnacentral:rRNA from 1 species
UACAGAGGUCUCGAGCGUUGUUCGGAUUCACUGGGCGUAAAGGGUGCGUAGGUGGCCAGGUAAGUUCGGUGUGAAAGCUCGGAGCUUAACUCCGAAAUGGCAUUGAAUACUAUCUGGCUAGAGGGUCGGAGGGGAGACUGGAAUUCUCGGUGUAGCAGUGAAAUGCGUAGAUAUCGAGAGGAACACCAGUGGCGAAGGCGAGUCUCUGGACGACUCCUGACACUGAGGCACGAAAGCCAGGGGAGCAAACAGG